CGCAGGCGGCAUCGCAAGUCGGUCUUAAAAGUGCGGGGCUUAACCCCGUGAGGGGACCGAAACUGUGAAGCUCGAGUGUCGGAGAGGAAAGCGGAAUUCCUAGUGUAGCGGUGAAAUGCGUAGAUAUUAGGAGGAACACCAGUGGCGAAAGCGGCUUUCCGGACGACAACUGACGCUGAGGCGCGAAAGCCAGGGGAGCAAACG
rnacentral:rRNA from 1 species